GGAAGGGUGCAGGAGUGGUUGAACUGGCUUGUCUCGAAAACAAGUGUGCCUUGCAAGAGGUACCGAGGGUUCGAAUCCCUCCCCUUCCGCCA
rnacentral:tRNA from 1 species